AUCCAACUGACAGGUCCCAAACAGGACGAAACAUAUGUCUUGGAU
rnacentral:hammerhead_ribozyme from 1 species